rnacentral:rRNA from 1 species
AUUGAACCCUGGCGGCAGGCCUAACACAUGCAAGUCGAGCGAGCGGCGGACGGGUGAGUAAUGUAUGGGGACUGCCCGAUAGAGGGGGACAACUACUGGAAACGGUAGCUAAUACCGCAUACUAUCGGAUAACCCAUAUGGGAUUAGCGAGUAGGUUAGGUAAUGGCUCACCUAGGCGACGAUCCCUAGCUGUUCUGAGAGGAUGAGCAGGCACAUGGGGACUGAGGCACGGCACAGACUGCUCCGGAGGCAGCAGGGGGGAAUAUUGAACAAUGGGCGCAAGCCUUAUGCAGCCAUGCCGAGUGUAUGAAGAAGCCCCUAGGGUUGUAAAGUACUUUCAGUCGGGAGGAGUUACCGUCAGAAGAAGCACCGGCUAAAGCCGUGCCAGCAGCCGCGGUAAUG